rnacentral:tRNA from 1 species
AAAAAUCUAGUUUAUAUAAAAUAUUAAUUUGUCAAAUUAAAGAAAUUUAUAAAAUGAUUUUUU